AUACGGAGGAUCCAAGCGUUAUCCGGAUUUAUUGGGUUUAAAGGGUGCGCAGGCGGGUUGAUAAGUCAGCGGUGAAAGUUUGCAGCUUAACUGUAAAAUUGCCGUUGAAACUGGCGAUCUUGAGUGCAAAUGAGGUAAGCGGAAUGUGUUGUGUAGCGGUGAAAUGCUUAGAUAUAACACAGAACACCGAUUGCGAAGGCAGCUUACUGGGAUGCAACUGACGCUCAUGCACGAAAGCGUGGGGAUCAAACAGGAUUAGAUACCCUGGUAGUCCACGCAGUAAACGAUGAAUACUAACUGUUUGCGAUAUACAGUAAGCGGUACAGCGAAAGCGUUAAGUAUUCCACCUGGGGAGUACGUUCGCAAGAAUGAA
rnacentral:rRNA from 1 species